AAACCGACACUGGUGGGCGAGCUGAAUAUGCUCAGGCGCUUGAGAGAACUCAGGGGAAGGAACUCGGCAAAUUGACACCGUAACUUCGGGAUAAGGUGUGCCUUUGUAGCGUGGAGGGAGAAACACCCCGAGCGCGAAGAGGUCUCAGAUAAUCGGUGGCUGCGACUGUUUAUUAAAAACACAGCACUCUGCAAAGACGAAAGUCGACGUAUAGGGUGUGAUGCCUGCCCGGUGCUGGAAGAUUAAUUGAUGGGGUGCAAGCUCCUGAUCGAAGUCCCAGUAAACGGCGGCCGUAACGAUAACGGUCCUAAGGCAGCGAAAUUCCUUGUCGGGCAAGUUCCGACCUGCACGAAUGGCAUAACGAUGGCCACACUGUCUCCUCCUGAGACUCAGUGAAGUUGAAGUGUUUGUGAUGAUGCAAUCUCCCCGCGGCUAGACGGAAAGACCCCAUGAACCUUUACUGUAGCUUUGCAUUGGACUUUGAACCGAUCUGUGUAGGAUAGGCGGGAGCCUGUGAAACCACAACGCCAGUUGUGGCGGAGGCGUCCUUGAAAUACCGCCCUGAUUUGUUUGAGGUUCUAACCUGGGACAGUUAUCCUGUCCGGGGACCGUGCAUGGUAGGCAGUUUGACUGGGGCGGUCUCCUCCUAAAGGGUAACGGAGGAGUGCGAAGGUACGCUAGGUACGGUCGGAAAUCGUGCUGAUAGUGCAAUGGCAGAAGCGUGCUUGACUGCGAGACCCACAAGUCGAGCAGAUACGAAAGUAGGUCAUAGUGAUCCGGUGGCUCUGUAUGGAAGGGCCAUCGCUCAACGGAUAAAAGGUACUCUGGGGAUAACAGGCUGAUACCGCCCAAGAGUUCAUAUCGACGGCGGUGUUUGGCACCUCGAUGUCGGCUCAUCUCAUCCUGGGGCUGUAGCCGGUCCCAAGGGUAUGGCCGUUCGCCAUUUAAAGAGGUACGUGAGCUGGGUUUAAAACGUCGUGAGACAGUUUUGUCCCUAUCUGCCGUGGGCGCUGGAAGAUUGACGGGGGCUGCUCCUAGUACGAGAGGACCGGAGUGGACUCACCUCUGGUGUACCGGUUGUCACGCCAGUGGCAUCGCCGGGUAGCUAUGUGGGGAAGAGAUAACCGCUGAAAGCAUCUAAGCGGGAAACUUGCCUGAAGAUAAGUCUUCCUGGAGGCUAGACCUCCCUAAAGAGUCGCUCGAGACCAGGACGUUGAUAGGAUGGGUGUGUAAGUGCUGUGAGGCACUCAGCUAACCAUUACUAAUUGCUCGUGAAGCUUGAUCCG
rnacentral:rRNA from 1 species